rnacentral:rRNA from 1 species
GCGGGGGAUAACUAUUGGAAACGAUAGCUAAUACCGCAUGAAAUGGAUUAUCGCAUGAUAAUCGAUUGAAAGGUGCAAAUGCAUCACUACCAGAUGGACCUGCGUUGUAUUAGCUAGUUGGUGAGGUAACGGCUCACCAAGGCAACGAUACAUAGCCGACCUGAGGGGGUGAUCGGCCACACUGGGACUGAGACACGGCCCAG